GCUGAACACUCAUUAGGACACCCAGGCUACAGAGAGGAACUACCCUCUGCUGGUCUCCUCUGAGCUGUUGGAUGGCUCGAUAAAGCUCCUCUUCAUCUUACUCACCCUCCACUUGUCUGCAUAUGUCAUUCUUCCUGUAUGCAGGACAAGAACUCAGGAUGCACCCAGUGAUGGGGCUAAAAAAGCUGUAAUACAAACAGGGCUGAAACACGCCCCUUGCUUGCUGCCUUUCAGGUGACAAGAGGGAGAGAGGAGAGAAGACAGAAGGAGAUAAGAGAAAAGGAGCCUUACUGUUUCUUCACUUUGUCACAUGCUAUUAUUUGUUCAACUCCAUCUGUGAAGAAGGUACUUGCUUCCCACAAUGCUACCAUCACUGAGAGGAAAACCUGGAAAUAAAACCAUUUAUUCUG